rnacentral:lncRNA from 1 species
GGCUAUUGUUCCCCGCAGGGGCCCGGGGCGCCCUGAAACGGGGUCCACGUCAGCCCGCUCCCGAGCGUGUCCUCAGGUCUAAGGACGGGUGGGGCUUCCUUUGUGUGUUCUCUGGAAGGGGCUGGGAUGGCGUCGUUGCUGCCCCAAGGGGUAACCGAGGGGGAUUGAGGGAAGAUGGUACCAGCUCCCUAGAGCUCAGCUCACCAGACCUACUCUUCCGCUCGACCCUUGCAGAGGAGGUGGGGACGGAUAUGGUAUUUGUAGGGCAGCGCUGUGAACAAUGGAGCCAUCAAAAAGGCCUUCUCCCAGCCUCCUCACCAACCACGGACAUUCCUGGCCCAACAAGACCUCCUGGCCAGGUUUUGAGCCCUGCUUCCCAGAUCUGGGGACCCUUCACCUGCCUCUACUACUGCAAAUGAUUGGAUAUUCGUCUGACUUGGCUCUUCCCUAAUGUGUGGAACUAAUUUUGUUCACUCUGUUUCAUGCUGGACCUGGCCUGAAAAUGGGCCCUUAUAUUGUCUUUGCACUUUCCAACUUGCCAAGUUUCUGAAAGAAGGACCAAAGUAAUGCCAAGAACUCCCAGAUGAAGAGGACCUUCCUUAGACCUAUAACAGAUUCACUACUUGACUUCAGAGGGAAGUUUCAGCUAAUUCUCAGGAAAAGGUCAAAACAGGCCUGUGACUGUCCCUUGAAUACUGAAGGUAUAAACAAGCUUCUGGCUCCUCCAGGUCAAGCAGAGGAACACUUUUAUUAGAAUGAAGGGUUACUUCUUUGUUAUUCAAACACACACCCACACACAUCCUCUGUAGUCUCCCUAAUGAAAAACCUCAACAGAUGGAGAGCCUGAGCUCCCAAGUCCGCAGGCUGAGAAGAUGCACUUCACUCAAGGGCCAGUGGGCUGGUACAGACUAGGGAAGAGAAAAGGGACAAAGGCUGCUAGUAUAGGUAAUCACUAUCUUUUAAUACUCCUAACACAUAGAAAUUCGAAAAAUCUUGUUCAGCAAUGUUAGCAGCCUGUGAGCCUCGGAAACUAAUUUGGCUGAUGUGUCUCUGAUAGGGAGCUUGGGGCUGCACCAAGGGGAAACAUUCUCCUCCUGUAUUCUCUCCUCUCUCUCGUUUGAAAGCCUGUACAAAGAAAUGGUACAAAUGGAUGGUUAACUUAAUGAUUCCAUCAGAGGCAGAUUUUUCUCUGUCAGGUCCCUGGAUAAGGUGGAGGUCUGAAAGCCAGGAGACAGAAUAUGUACUUAAUCGCCCUUUCUGACCUGCUUACCAGUGACCAGGACUACUCUCCAGGCCUUUCUUCUGCCACUUCCCCAUUCUUCCUGGCUAGUUCAGUUGGGUCUCAGCACUUCAACUCCUGGCUGGAUCCUGAGUUUUUCUUGGUUGCAGGGAAAGCUCUCACUGUCUGCAUCUCCUUCCCCACCCCCACCUCCCGUUUUGCAGCUGGCCAUUCUGGCUGCCUCACAGCUAUCCUGCCUUAAUUCAUAUUUGAUUGCCUGGACAGAACCACCUAGAAUGUCCAGACGACUGCCACCCCUCAGCCAUGGGCCUGAGAUCCUGCCCUGACCCCUUUCUUCAGACCCCAGGAGGACCCACAAUCUCCCUGAUCCCCACCUUCCCCAAAGUAGUCUCUAGGAAAAAAGCAGAGCUGGCUAAGGCCUGAGACAGAGCCAUUUCUUCCCCUUGGGCAAACGAGGUAGACCCUCCCAGAGACCAAUGCCGGAGAGGCCCGGAUCCGAGCUCCCUUUAUAUGGCCUCCCCCAUCACGGAUCCCGUGGGAAAACCUGACACACAAUGGCGCGGCUGCUCCGGGCACCCUCAACCCAGCGCCCUGCGGCAAGGCCUGGAGCAGCCUGGUGGUCUUGGUGCGCUCCCUUUGCCCUCCCCGCAACCCUCUGCGAGCACUCGUCCCAGGAGAGAGACCCUGGCUAGGGUGGAGGUUGCCUCCCGCAAAGGGCGCUGUUGCUGGGGCCUCCCCUCCCCCAUUCUCUUGUUUUUCUGCUUCUGAGACUCGGGAGGGAGGCGGCAGGCGCCUCCGCAGCCGAUAGAGCAGCUAUUGUGACCUUCCCUUGCAGAGCGGGAACCCAGCCGAGUGUGUACCGCCGGCGGUGGCGGGGGAGGAGGCGACUGUGUGUGCAAACCUCAGUCGGAGAGGGGGUGGCGCUGGGAAAUAAAGGUUUGCAACCUCAGGCAGUUGGGCCCUUCAGAGGGCGUUUGGUUGUGUUUAGACUCGGUUGCUUUCUAACACUAAUUGCAGGCUCAAAAGGAGCGGAAUUUAUUGCGAAGGCCAAGGCGGCUUGUUUAUAAUUUAUGAAGUUUUAAAUGGCUGUGCCGCGGGCCCCAACUUUCUCCUGGGCUGGCAGCCGCGCGGAAACGCGCCCUCCCCCGGCUCGCCGCCCACCCCCACCCACGCCCCUCAGAUGAGUCUCACGCCAAUGGCAGGAACAGAUCCGAGCUAUUAGAAGUCUCGGGAACCUCCAGAGAUGACAGAAGGUGGCAGAUUUGGUCCAAGCCCUCACCCCACUCGAGAGGAGGGCGUCGGGGAAAGCUGUGGCUGCCUGGAGAGGGAGCCCCUGAUCCCACACUUCCUUGGAGCCUGAGUGUGAGAGGAAGCUAAUGUCAGCCGGGCUAGACACCGUUUAAAGUCUAAUCCAUGAAACCCUAAGCCGCAAAUGACACUUGGGGCUUUGCAGACACCCGCAGACUCAGCAGAUACUCCUGCGGUAACACACUGUGCUGGAAAACGCCUGGAGCCAUGACACAUUACGUAUUUUUAUUAUUAUUUAUGGUAGGAAGAGGAGAUGAGGGAAAAUCGGGCUGAAUCUAAGCAGCCUGACAAUUCAGCUAGUUAAUAUUUAGCCAGUUAAGAAAGGUGGUUGUAAUCCCUGCAAGGCAGUGAGCUCUCCUUUGAUUUCUCUAAUAGCUUAAAAAAUAAUUUCUUACAAGACAAUUAGAAAUUCUGCCUAUGGAUGCAAAUUUCAUAGAAAACAAUGUUAAGCCUUGAAAGUGGGUAAAAUGUGCCUUCGAUUGAAGUCAUUUAUUCUGUUGAUACACUUCUACAACAUAUAUAUUUUAAACCUGCUCAGAUAAAGUGAAAUUUAGCAAAAGGAUAUCCCCUCCCACCCCCAAAUCUAACAUGCCAUUUUAAAAACAGCACAAAGGAACAAGGAAACUAAAUAUUAUUUUGAGCCAUCAUUACUUAGUGAAAUACAAACAUCCAAAUAGAAACGAUUGUUGUUCCACCAGAAGAUUAGAAGUUAAAUUAUUUCCACACAAUAGGAAUUUCACUUCGUGUCAUCGGGGAUGUAGUAGGAGUUGCAUUAUUUGUCAAACCAAAUAGAGAUGCGUGGGCUGACUUUGCUGAAAUACAAAAGAAUUGAACCUUAUCUGAAGGCGUUUUCUAAGUGGCCCCUCCCAUAGAAGCCGGGAAGUUGUCCACCCCUAGCAGAAGCCACAUUAAUAUUUACAAAAUGGUUAUAAAUCCUUGAAGACAUUUUUGCCCAUUUUGUAUAAGAAACAGGAGUAAACAAGGUGUUUAUACUUGUUAUGUUUCAUUAAUGAAAUAUUAUUACUUUACAUCUUGGGGAAUGUUUGUUUUCUUUAGAAAUGAACUAAUGAUCACUACAAAGGAAGAAUUCAUGACAGCAUUUCCUAGAGAAAAAGCUUAGGUACGCGUCUCCAAAUGAUGGUUUCUUUUUCUACACCUUAGCUUUUUCAUAGCUCAAUUCUUCUUACAACUUCUCUUGUGUUUUUUCUUUGAUUGUCAGUUUUCUUUCAAAGUUUAUUUUUUGUUACUUAAUGCAGAAAAGUGAGCUCUGGUCUCCCCAGUGUAAAAGUCGAUUGUGUCUAGAAAGAAGGCAGUAAAAACAGCAAAGCAGGCGCUGCUUUCAAAAAGCCCUGCCCAAAUCAUCCCGCCCAGAACCUUCUUAGGUUUGCAUCCUCAUUUCCCCCUCCCCUAA